rfam:Salmo salar isolate Sally breed double haploid chromosome ssa11, whole genome shotgun sequence.
UUCAUGCGCUACUGCAUGUUGCUCUGGAUAAGAGCAUCUGCUAAAUGAAUAAAU